AUUCCCACUGUCCCUAUCUACUUAUACUGCCUCGUGAUGCGUCACCUUGACGAGGUGAGGCGGCUUGCGUUCCUCAAUGACUCUCGAGGUUUGUUUGCGUCACAUGCUCCAAUGUACACCAGAGAGCACUUGGAUCACAGAUAAGAUGGCGGUUGGAUCAGAUGGGUUUAUGUGCACCAACGCUCAGUGACACGAACGGAUUUGAGCACUCCCUUCCCUUUCAAUCGCACAUCGUACAUCAUUGACCGAUUAGAAAAUCCUGUACCUUUGGCAGGAAUUGGUGAAUUGUUAGAAGACAAUGGGAACGACGAUGAAAUAGAAAAUAUUGCCAUUAACGCAAUCGUUGAAAUUGCAGAAGGUUUCGUUCAAAGAAUACAUAGGACAUGCAUAACCAAUUACAUUGAAAAUACAGUGCCUAUGU